rnacentral:rRNA from 1 species
GGGCCCGCACAAGCGGUGGAGCAUGUGGUUUAAUUCGAUGCAACGCGAAGAACCUUACCAGGGCUUGACAUACUACAAAUUCUUUGGAGACAGAGAAGUGCCUUCGGGAAUGUAGAUACAGGUGGUGCAUGGCUGUCGUCAGCUCGUGUCGUGAGAUGUUGGGUUAAGUCCCGCAACGAGCGCAACCCUUAUUUUUAGUUACCAAUUCGUUGGGUUCUCUAGAAAGACUGCCGGUGACAAACCGGAGGAAGGUGAGGAUGACGUCAAGUCAGCAUGCCCCUUAUGUCCUGGGCUACACACGUGCUACAAUGGUUAAGACAAAGAGUCGCUAGCUUGCGAAAGUUUGCUAAUCUCAUAAACUUAGCCUAAGUUCAGAUUGUAGGCUGCAAUUCGCCUACAUGAAGUUGGAAUC